CCUACGGGAGGCAGCAGUGAGGAAUAUUGGUCAAUGGACGAGAGUCUGAACCAGCCAAGUAGCGUGAAGGGUGACUGCCCUAUGGGUUGUAAACUUCUUUUAUAUGGGAAUAAAACGUUCCACGUGUGGGAUUUUGUAUGUACCAUAUGAAUAAGGAUCGGCGAACUCCGUGCCAGCAGCCGCGGUAAUACGGAGGAUCCGAGCGUUAUCCGGAUUUAUUGGGUUUAAAGGGAGCGUAGGUGGAUUGUUAAGUCAGUUGUGAAAGUUUGCGGCUCAACCGUAAAAUUGCAGUUGAAACUGGCAGUCUUGAGUACAGUAGAGGUGGGCGGAAUUCGUGGUGUAGCGGUGAAAUGCUUAGAUAUCACGAAGAACUCCGAUUGCGAAGGCAGUUCACUGGACUGCAACUGACACUGAGGCUCGAAAGUGUGGGUAUCAAACAGGAUUAGAUACCCGGGUAGUC
rnacentral:rRNA from 1 species